AGAGUUCGAUUAUGGCUCAGGAUGAACGCUGGCGGCGUGCCUAAUACAUGCAAGUCGAUCGGAAUGUAGCAAUACAUUAAGAGGCGAACGGGUGAGUAACACGUAGGUAAUCUGCCCCAAGGACUGGGAUACCCAAGCGAAAGUUUGGCUAAUACCGGAUAUGAGGAAACUUGAAAGCAGCGUUAGCUGCACCAUGGGAUGAGCCUGCGGCGCAUUAGCUAGUUGGUGAGAUAAGAGCCCACCAAGGCAAUGAUGCGUAGCCGACCUGAGAGGGUGAACGGCCACAUUGGAACUGAGACACGGUCCAG
rnacentral:rRNA from 1 species